UACGGAGGGGACUAGCGUUGUUCGGAAUUACUGGGCGUAAAGCGCACGUAGGCGGAUUUGUAAGUCAGGGGUGAAAUCCCGGGGCUCAACCCCGGAACUGCCUUUGAUACUGGGUGUCUAGAGUCCGGAAGAGGUGAGUGGAAUUCCGAGUGUAGAGGUGAAAUUCGUAGAUAUUCGGAGGAACACCAGUGGCGAAGGCGGCUCACUGGUCCGGUACUGACGCUGAGGUGCGAAAGCGUGGGGAGCAAACAGGG
rnacentral:rRNA from 1 species